rnacentral:rRNA from 1 species
UACGUAGGAUGCAAGCGUUGUCCGGAAUUAUUGGGCGUAAAGAGCGCGCAGGCGGUAUGACAAGUCAGAUGUGAAAGAGGCCGGCUUAACCGGCAAGGGUCAUUUGAAACUGUCAGACUAGAGUGCAGCAGAGGAUAGUGGAAUUCCCGGUGUAGUGGUGAAAUGCGUAGAUAUCGAGAGGAACACCAGAGGUGAAGACGGGUUGCUGGGCCGACACUGACGCUGACAGCGCGAAAGCCAGGGGAGCAAACGGG